rnacentral:rRNA from 1 species
AGAGUUUGAUCAUGGCUCAGAACGUACGCUGGCGGCACGCCUAAUACAUGCAAGUCGAACGAAGUAGCAAUACUUAGUGGCAGACGGGUGAGUAACAUGUGGGUAUCUUCCCUUUGGUGAGGAAUAACACGAGGAAACUUGUGCUAAUACCUCAUAAGUCUUUACGGAGAAAGCUUUAUGCGCCAUUGGAUGAGCCCGCACUUGAUUAGUUUGUUGGUGGGGUAAUGGCCUACCAAGACUUUGAUCAAUAGCUGAUUUGAGAGGAUGAUCAGCCACAUUGGGACUGAGACACGGCCCAAACUCCUACGGGAGGCAGCAGUAGGGAAUCUUGCACAAUGGAGGAAACUCUGAUGCAGCGAUGCCGCGUGAGUGAAGAAGGCCUUUGGGUUGUAAAGCUCUUUCGUCGGGGAAGAAAAUGACUGUACCCGAAUAAGAAGGUCCGGCUAACUUCGUGCCAGCAGCCGCGGUAAUACGAAGGGACCUAGCGUAGUUCGGAAUUACUGGGCUUAAAGAGUUCGUAGGUGGUUAAAAAAGUUGGUGGUGAAAGCCCAGAGCUUAACUCUGGAACUGCCAUCAAAACUUUUUAGCUAGAGUAUGAUAGAGGAAAGCAGAAUUUCUAGUGUAGAGGUGAAAUUCGUAGAUAUUAGAAAGAAUACCAAUUGCGAAGGCAGCUUUCUGGAUCAUUACUGACACUGAGGAACGAAAGCAUGGGUAGCGAAGAGGAUUAGAUACCCUCGUAGUCCAUGCCGUAAACGAUGUGUGUUAG